GUGUAGCACUGUCGACGGUCGUUACAGUCAAAUUGUGACGCCUGAAGUUAUUUGCAGUGUGGAUUCUGGUGAUGGCGUUAGACCGUGUGGGGAGGAACACGGUGGAUUACUUACCUUAUCUAAGAUCAGGCGCAUGUACAACGUCACCGAAUUAGUUGGAAUUACAGCUUGGGAACCUUCAACCACAACAAACACAUGCCAAAGUACAGAGCCUCGAGUUUACGUUCGC